ensembl:lncRNA
AUGACAAAACUAUUUAUAGCAGAGGUUACAAAAGCUUUAAAAGAUAGUGAUAAUAAUUCAACCCACUCCAUCUCAGACAUAUUUGGAUGCAGCGCUCCAGAUUUCGAGGUCUUCCUGAAGCAGAAAAUUUCAGCUUGGAUCAUUCUGUGCCUCAAUGAAGAGCAAAGAAAAAAGCAGUCUUCAAAAUGCCACGGAAGGCAGAAUCCAGUGGCAGCUGACGGAUGCAGAGCCUCCCUGUGAUGUUUUAAUGAGUGAAGAAGGAGAGUGGGAGGCCAGGCUCCGAAAAAGAAGCCCCGCUCUUCAUCCUGUUCAGCUGUGAGGCUCCUCCUUGGCGUUUUGCAGAAGGCUAAGCAUCUCGAUUUGCUGAAGCAGCUGAACUGGAAAAAUUCAAAACAGUCUUGAUAAUAUGAAAAGUUGAGAGGAGAGGCAGUCUGUGUUAUCACUUUGAAGCAGUUCUUUACAUUUUGAAAAGGAAAACACAAACUGCUUCCUGCUGCUCUUUGCAGGUGGUCAAUUUUUUUAGUAUUUAAGACAUGCUGCAAAAAAGAAAUGUUAUAUACCAUUAUUUCUCUGACUUGAAAGGUCUAGUCUAAGCUUGAUGUAUACGGAUGCAUGUUUUGCUGAUGUACUAGGCAUGGGCGAAUUAAUCGGAAUCGUCAUUAAUCGUUGUUAACCAUAUCUAUUUUGGGUUCCAAAUGGAGUUCCGAGGUGGUUUGGCGCUUCCAAAUUAACCUUCCACUUCGAAGCAUUGGAGCCUAUCCUCGGAAUACCUUCGGAUAUAUGAGAAAGCAUUUUGGCUAGCACUGGGCUUAAGAGCCCCAUAGAAACAAAGCCUGUUAGCAUCGGGGCAUAAGAGCCCCACAGAAACCAAGCCUGGAGUGUUUUCCCUCCUGGAUAGAACUGGGCCGUUUUGAGAUAGCAUGGUGUAGAGUACUGGUUUGAAAGUUGGAUUACAAUUGUGGCUCGAUUCCCCGCUCAGCCAUUGAAACCCACUGAGUGAUCUUGGGCAAGUCACACACUCUCAGCCCCAGGAAACCCAAUGAAACAGGAAAUAACGCUUUCAAACCAGGAACAGAUUUUCUUAUUCAGAGGCUGAUGGCCAUCUGUCAGGAGUGAUUUGAUGGUGUGCUAUGAUUUCUGUUCCUGGUUGAUAAAUGUCAUUUCCUAAUUGGUUCUGUUAUAAAAACAUGGCGAAACUUGAUUACACUGCCAAAACUUUGUCUUUGCACAAGGGACAUUGUCCUAUAAAAAUAGCACAUUGUUGUUGAGCAGGGGUCCCCAAACUUUUUAAGCAAAGGGCCGGUCCACAAUCCUUCAGACUGUUGAGGGGCCGAAUUAUCAUUUGAAAAAAUAUAUACAAACAAAUUUCUAUGCAUACUGCACAUGUCUUCUUUGUAGUGCAACAACAACAACAACAACGAAAGAACAAUACAAUAUUUAAAAAUGAAAACAAUUUUAACCGACAUAAACCUAUCAGGAUUUCAAUGGAAAGUGUGGGCCUGCUACUGGCCAAUGAGAUAGUCAAGUUAAUUAGGAUUGUUGUUGUUGUGUGCCUUCAAGUCAUUUCAGACUUUGGCCUAGCCUAAGUCUAAAAUUAAUUAAUUAUUUACUGCAUUUAUUUACUACAUUUAUAUCCCACCCUUCUCACCCCGAAGGAGACUCAGAGCAGCUAUAUGUACAUACAAUAUAUUAUAUUAUUAGCUUAACACAAUAUUAGCAUUAUAUAUUACUAUAUUGAACUAUACCACUAUACUAUUAUAUUAUAUGUAAUAUAUAACAUAUAAUUAAUAUUAUUAUAUGGUAUUACUAUUAGUAUUAUAUUGUAUAACAUAAGAUUAUUAUCAAUAUUAUAUGUAUAUACAAUAUAUUAUAUUAUUAAAACUGAUAUAAAAAUAUUAUAUUAUAAAACUGAGGGCGGGGGCCAGGUAAAUGACCUUGGAGGGCCGCAUCCGGCCCCCGGGCCUUAGUUUGGGGACCCCUGUUGUUGAGUCUCUCUCCACCAAUUUAACAAAGUUUCAGCCACAAAAACAAAGUUUCUGAAGUAGACUUUCAAAGUAAAGCCAACCCAGUGAAAUAGGAAAUAACACUUUCAAACCAGGAAUAGAUUUUUGUUAUUAUUAAAAAAAUUUAAUAAAUUUUUUGAAGAUUUGCCAAAAUUCUGAGGAUAAGUCAAAUAUUCUUAGAUUUGGUGAGCUAACAGUGGUAAAUAUGUUCUACCACUGUAGCAAAUUUCAUUAGAAUAGCUCAAAAAAUGAGGGAGAUAGAAGCCCCUCAAUUUUCCCCAUUGACGAUGUUUUUCUUCCUGCGCAUGCGCAUCCACCAUUGACGAGGUACAUACAAAGAUUCAGAAGUUUCAGAACGUUUUGAAUUUUUUGCCUUCAAAAUUCAGAAAUGACUUUAGAAACAAAGUGUCAGCGCCCCCUACUUUCGAAGUGAGUUUAGAACCAUUUUUUCCUGGAUCGCACAUGCCGAUAUUUUGCAGAUCAUUCUUAACAUGACAGGGGUGCUUUGUUGUGUAAAAAAAAGGUUUGUCAAUCACUUAAUUUAUAUUCAAUAGAAUGUAAUCUAAUGACCAGUGAACCUGAAAUCAACUCAUAAAUGUGUUAUGUUCAGAUAAUUUUAUUAGGAAUUAUAGGUCUAUCAAUGGGUAAUGGUCAAGAAAGCAAAAAACCAAGCUUUCCUAUUCAGAGGCAGUGUACUGGGGUGUGCAACAGCCACUCAUUGGGGGACCACAAUAAUCCUCUGUGGGGAUUUUGAGGGCUGCAUCCCUUGCCUACUCCAACACCCAAUAGUUA